GCGGCUGGAUAUGGGUGUGGAUGGAGCUUGGCUCACUCAGGCUGCGGUGUAGGAUGGAGCUGUAAGUGGGAAGGAAAGCAGGAAGAAGACCUACCCCCACCCCCAAAUGAAAAAGAAGACCCGCCGCCCAGAUGAAAAGCGCUAACCACAAGGACACGGACCCUGGACUGGCUGAAACCAGAAGGUUGACGAUGCUUGAAGCUACUCUCUUCUACUUCCCUCCAAAUUCCGUCUCCAUGUUUCUAUUCGGCACUGGUGAACACAGGCUGAGUUUCGGCAACAAGAGUAGGCAUAGACCUGGGACUUCUCACUCCAGGCAACUCCAGGGCAAAACACGAUUUCCCAGGAGCCUCCUCCCUCCUUCACGGUGACUGACGCAAAUGCCCCAUGUGGAUGAGAUCAGACAGACACUUCUCUCUACACUAUGUGCUUGUUCAUCUGAGGACCAGGGAAGGCCUUCUGGAGAAGGUGACUUCUAGCAAGUUCUAGGAGAGGAGAGAGUGAGCCAUGAGGGUCUCUGAGUGAAGGGCAUUCCCCCGGUGCACAGCCCUGAAAUGAGAGAAGCCCUGGAACAUGCAAGGACAAUGAGGUCAGGUGGGCUGGAGUUAGCUAGGAAGACAAGGCAGGAGGGGAUCUUCCUGACCCAAGG
ensembl:lncRNA